GAAAUGCGAUAAGUAGUGUGAAUUGCAGAAUUCAGUGAAUCAUCGAAUCUUUGAACGCACAUUGCGCCCUCAGGUAUUCCUGGGAGCAUGCCUGUUUGAGAAUUGGAACCUCCUCUACCUUUACACCUGUGGGUGAUUUAAGGGUGGGAUUUGAGUCGUCCCAGGCGAAGGCAACUUCAGAAACUGGGUGACUUGGAAUGGAUGGUUUGGCUAAGACUUUUAAGUCCAAUUGCUGACAAGCGUGACAAGAACUUUGCAAUGCCAUUUCGGUGAGCAAGUUUCAGACCGCUGACUCAGUCUUUGGGUUAUUAAACUUAGAUUUCUUAUCGCCUUCUCAACUAAAAUUACGUGAUUGAGAACGUGUUCUUAAUCCUGAAUCUCAGUCUCAAAUCAGGCAAGA
rnacentral:misc_RNA from 1 species